rnacentral:tRNA from 1 species
GCAGGGGUGUCCGAGCGGCCAAAGGAGGUGGACUUAAGAUCCUCUGGUGUAGACCUACGUGGGUUCAAAUCCCAUCCCCUGCA